UUGGUCAUUUAGAGGAAGUAAAAGUCGUAACAAGGUUUCCGUAGGGGAACCUGCGGAAGGAUCAUUAUCGAAAAAAGCAAUCUCAAAAAGAGGGGAGAUCUCUCUUCUUUUUUAGAUUAUCUUUCUCAACACACCUGUGCACCUUAUCGUAGAUCCUGCAAGGGAAUCUAUGUUUUUUUUUUUAUCUACACCCAAACCGCAUGUCCUUAGAUUAAAAAAAGAAAUUAAAUACAACUUUCAGCAACGGAUCUCUUGGCUCUCGCAUCGAUGAAGAACGCAGCGAAUUGCGAUAUGUAAUGUGAAUUGCAGAUUUUCAGUGAAUCAUCGAAUCUUUGAAUGCAUCUUGCGCUCCUUGGUAUUCCGAGGAGCAUGCCUGUUUGAGUGUCAUGAAAAUUCUCAACCAAUUCUUUGAUUGAUUUCAAGGAAAAUGGCUUGGAUUUUUGGGAGUUUUGCUGGUCCUCGGGGUCAGCUCUCCUUAAAAGCAUUUUAGCGAAAGGUUGGCAUGCACGGCCCUUUUGACGUGAUAAUGAUCGUCAUGGCUGGAGUGCCCCCUUGACACCCUUGACCUCAAAUCAGGUAGGACUACCCGCUGAACUUAAGCAUAUCAAUAAGCGGAGAAA
rnacentral:rRNA from 1 species